GAGCUCGAUAUAGUUCGGAAGCGAAAACCUCGCGUAAUAACUUUAAUGCGCCGUAGUUUAUACGUUGUUGAGAAAACUGAUCAAUUAUUUAUUACCGAUUAACCUCCUCUUUCGUCUUUCAAAUAUGUAUUCUUUCUCUCUCUGUCUUUGCUUUAGAACCGAUAAUCGUCGAAAUUUACUUAAACCUUGAGCAAAAUGAAUACCAAUUUACAUUUUUGAUCAACAACCUUCUCACUACAUUAAUAUCAACAAGUGUAAUAUCUUUAAUCUUUCAUCGUCGUUCCGAUAAGUUCACCACACGGCCGAUGAAAGACCACAGCAGGAAUCAUUCGCUUUAUGACAACCGAGGUACUUUUCGAGUACCUACAUGGCGAUUGCGAAUAAUACCUACCCAUCGACUAAAAACUUGGCUUAAAUAUCUAUAGGACUGAAAUGCAAUAAAAGCAAAUGUAUCCGAGUCGAAGGUGUUUUUAUGCUAUAAUUUGUCCGAAUACGCGGCCAGAAAAGCGAUUCUUUUUAUCGCGCGGCUUACUUUUAUGGUAUUUACAUUACGUCUUAUCGACCAUGUAAAGUGCUUUUAAAACGAAAUUUAUCGCCAGUCAUAACUUCUAAUGAAAUGCUCCCAUUUACUCAGCUCUUAAUUAUAAUUUAUUUCACCCGACGAAGACGACGCGCACCGACGCAUCUCUGUUGCACUUAAAUAUCAUUUUUUUGGAGCGAAAAGUUGCAUUUUUGUUGGGUAUCGUCGUUGUAUAUUAUACGUAGUUUUUAGUCGAAGGAGUAUUUGAAGAGAAAACAGUUGAGAGGAAUUUUACGUACGUUCGGUUUUUGGGCGGACUGGAUUUCGACAAUAUGAUGAGAUUGGCGGAUAUCUUUACUGCAGCUUUUUUAGUGAUGAUGGUGGUGUUUUUUACGACCAGUAUGGCCGAUGAGCCGGAUAACACACCGGAGAUCGCCGGAAAUCCAGCUAUUCCAGGAUUAGCAACCUCAUCACAAUGAACCCACAACUUGGAAAUCUUAUUCUGCUGCUAAUAUUGUAAACAUUACGUAACAUCGGAUACCUACAUUAAAAAAUACUAUUUUAUCGCUUCGAAGCACAAAA